CCUACGGGAGGCAGCAGUGGGGAAUAUUGCACAAUGGGGGAAACCCUGAUGCAGCGACGCCGCGUGAGUGAAGAAGUAAUUCGUUAUGUAAAGCUCUAUCAGCAGGGCAGAAAAUGACGGUACCUGAGUAAGAAGCCCCGGCUAACUACGUGCCAGCAGCCGCGGUAAUACGGAGGGGGCAAGCGUUAUCCGGAUUUACUGGGUGUAAAGGGAGCGUAGACGGCUGUGCAAGUCUGGAGUGAAAGGCGGGGGCUCAACCCCCGAACUGCUCUGGAAACUGUACGGCUUGAGUGCAGGAGAGGUAAGUGGAAUUCCUAGUGUAGCGGUGAAAUGCGUAGAUAUUAGGAGGAACACCAGUGGCGAAGGCGGCUUACUGGACUGUAACUGACGUUGAGGCUCGAAAGCGUGGGGAGCAAACAGGAUUAGAUACCCGAGUAGUC
rnacentral:rRNA from 1 species